rnacentral:rRNA from 1 species
ACUCAAAUGAAUUGACGGGGGCUCACACAAGCGGUGGAGGAUGUGGCUUAAUUCGAGGCUACGCGAAGAACCUUAUCCUAGGUUUGACAUGCAUGGAUUAACCCCAUGAAAGUGGGGCCACGCCUUCGGGUGGAACAUGCGCAGGUGCUGCAUGGCUGUCGUCAGCUCGUGUCGUGAGAUGUCAGGUUAAGUCCUUUAACGAGCGCAACCCUUGUCUCUAGUUGCCAGCGAGUCAUGUCGGGGACUCUAGAGAGACCGCCGGCGUUAAGCCGGAGGAAGGUGGGGAUGACGUCAAGUCCUCAUGGCCUUUAUACCUAGGGCUGCACACGUCCUACAAUGCCGCGUACAAAGGGACGCAAGCUCGCGAGAGCAAGCAAAUCCCAAAAAGCGCGGCUCAGUUCGGAUUGCAGGCUGCAACUCGCCUGCAUGAAGCUGGAAUCGCUAGUAAUCGUAGGUCAGCAUACUACGGUGAAUGUGUUCCUGAGCCUUGCACACACCGCCCGU